rnacentral:rRNA from 1 species
UGUGAACGUUACCAAACUGUUGCCUCGGCGGGAUCUCUGCCCCGGGUGCGUCGCAGCCCCGGACCAAGGCGCCCGCCGGAGGACCAACCAAAACUCUUAUUGUAUACCCCCUCGCGGGUUUUUUACUAUCUGAGCCAUCUCGGCGCCCCUCGUGGGCGUUUCGAAAAUGAAUCAAAACUUUCAACAACGGAUCUCUUGGUUCUGGCAUCGAUGAAGAACGCAGCGAAAUGCGAUAAGUAAUGUGAAUUGCAGAAUUCAGUGAAUCAUCGAAUCUUUGAACGCACAUUGCGCCCGCCAGUAUUCUGGCGGGCAUGCCUGUCCGAGCGUCAUUUCAACCCUCGAACCCCUCCGGGGGGUCGGCGUUGGGGAUCGGCCCUUUACGGGGCCGGCCCCGAAAUACAGUGGCGGUCUCGCCGCAGCCUCUCCUGCGCAGUAGUUUGCACACUCGCAUCGGGAGCGCGGCGCGUCCACAGCCGUUAAACACCCCAAACUUCUGAAAUGUUGACCUCGGAUCAGGUAGGAAUACCCGCUGAACUUAAGCAUAUCAAUA